AUCUGACUCCCUAACCUAGGUUGGAGGAGCAAGUUUUAAUGGGUUUGUUUGGAUUGUAAGUUAUUUGAGAAUCAAAUAUUUUUACUGUAGCACUUUUUGUGAUGUGAUGUAUGUGAGAUAAAAAGGUAAUUGAGAAGAUAAAAAGGUGUAUUGAAAAUUGUAAUGAUGAUAUAAGCAAAUAUAUUUGAGAAAAUAAUCAGCUGUCCAAACAAACUUAACAGUAAAGUACUACUCCUACUUUUUCAAUUUCAAAUGAGAAAUUUCUAUUUUUGGUACCAAGCAAAUUCUCGACUUUACUCUCUGUAAUUACCACAUUGAAUCUGUUGCCAUCUUCUUUUUUUUUUUCUUUUCUAUAAUGGAUAAUAGUUAUUACUGGAUCGGACUGAGUUGAUA
rnacentral:lncRNA from 1 species